AGUAGCUGCUCAGAGGACCUUGCAUCAGCUGCAGGCACCCUGGCUGCUUUUCUACUGAUUAUGACUCAUCUUCCAGAUGGAUGGACAGCUUGGCCCAGACUAAGUGACUGCUCCUGACACUUUAACCCAGUUCUGAGUCCCUGUGCAUCCCAUGGCUGUGCUCUCACUGUUCCAGGGUUCACCUUUGAACCCUCACAUAUGUUCAGAGUGCUUCCUACUGAGUUAACAUGCAGAUCACAUAGCCUAGGGAGCAUCAGAACACUCAAACCACACUUCUUCCCAUUCCUCAGACAGAGGGACACAGCAACCUGAGAGUGUACUCGGAUCCUCUGGCUCCUCCCCUUAUGACUUCCAGGGCUCUGGAGGAAAGUCUAUUACUACAUGGACCUGCCCUUGAAAACAGCACCCACUCUACAGAGCACAGGUCCCACAGCAAUACGCUUCUCCAUGGACUUCGUCUCCCUUAAGUGGGAGGCUGGACCCUGAGACUGCCUUCCCCAGAUUGCCUGUAGAUCUCUAUCCCUACAUUCCUGUGGUUUGUGUACUGGACUGUCUAGGCCCACAUGUUCCUGUGUGUGUACUGUGUAGAUCAUCCUGGGCCUGCGUCCCUGCUGGAAGUUAUCAGCCUGGUGGUUUUUCCCCACAGUGAAUAAAUAUGUCUUAUUUGUCUAUGACUCCUUACAUUUUUCAGCCUCCAACCUCUUCUGAUCUCCUCCUGUCCCAGAAUCAGAAUGUGGAUCACACAGUGGCAGGAAGGUAGCUCCGGCU